GACGAACCGAGCGAACGUUGUUCGGAAUCACUGGGCUUAAAGGGCGCGUAGGCGGGCUGUCAAGUCUGGGGUGAAAUCCCACGGCUCAACCGUGGAACUGCCUUAGAUACUGACGGCCUUGAGGGAGAUAGGGGCGAGCGGAACUGUGAGUGGAGCGGUGAAAUGCGUUGAUAUUCACAGGAACUCCGGUGGCGAAGGCGGCUCGCUGGAUCUUUCUGACGCUGAGGCGCGAAAGCUAGGGGAGCAAACGGG
rnacentral:rRNA from 1 species